AUUGAACGCUGGCGGCAUGCCUUACACAUGCAAGUCGAACGGCAGCACGGGAGCUUGCUCCUGGUGGCGAGUGGCGAACGGGUGAGUAAUGCAUCGGAACGUGCCCUGAAGUGGGGGAUAACGUAGCGAAAGUUACGCUAAUACCGCAUAUUCUGUGAGCAGGAAAGCAGGGGAUCUUCGGACCUUGCGCUUUUGGAGCGGCCGAUGUCGGAUUAGCUAGUUGGUGGGUAAAGGCCCACCAAGGCGACGAUCCGUAGCGGGUCUGAGAGGAUGAUCCGCCACACUGGAACUGAGACACGGUCCAGACUCCUACGGAGGCAGCAGUGGGAAUUUUGGACAAUGGGCGCAAGCCUGAUCCAGCCAUGCCGCGUGAGUGAAGAA
rnacentral:rRNA from 1 species